CCUACGGUGUGCAGCAGUGGGGAAUAUUGGACAAUGGGCGAAAGCCUGAUCCAGCCAUGCCGCGUGUGUGAAGAAGGCCUUCGGGUUGUAAAGCACUUUCAGUGGGGAAGAAAGCCUUGGGGCUAAUACCCUCGAGGAAGGACAUCACCCACAGAAGAAGCACCGGCUAACUCCGUGCCAGCAGCCGCGGUAAUACGGAGGGUGCGAGCGUUAAUCGGAAUUACUGGGCGUAAAGCGCGCGUAGGCGGUCUGAUAAGCCGGUUGUGAAAGCCCCGGGCUCAACCUGGGAACGGCAUCCGGAACUGUCAGGCUAGAGUGCAGGAGAGGAAGGUAGAAUUCCCGGUGUAGCGGUGAAAUGCGUAGAGAUCGGGAGGAAUACCAGUGGCGAAGGCGGCCUUCUGGACUGACACUGACGCUGAGGUGCGAAAGCGUGGGUAGCAAACAGGAUUAGAUACCCCGGUAGUC
rnacentral:rRNA from 1 species